rnacentral:rRNA from 1 species
AGUGAACGCUGGCGGUAGGCCUAACACAUGCAAGUCGAACGGCAGCACAGUAAGAGCUUGCUCUUACGGGUGGCGAGUGGCGGACGGGUGAGGAAUACAUCGGAAUCUACUUUUUCGUGGGUGAUAACGUAGGGAAACUUACGCUAAUACCGCAUACGACCUACGGGUGAAAGCAGGGGAUCUUCGGACCUUGCGCGAUUGAAUUAGCCGAUGUCGGAUUAGCUAGUUGGCGGGGUAAAGGCCCACCAAGGCGACGAUCCGUAGCUGGUCUGAGAGGAUGAUCACCCAAACUGGAACUGAGACACGGUCCAGACUCCUAGGGGAGGCAGCAGUGGGGAAUAUUGGAAAAUGGGCGCAAGCCUGAUCCAGCCAUACGGGGUGGGUGAAGAAGGCCUUCGGGUUGUAAAGCCCUUUUGUUGGGAAAGAAAAGCAGCAGGUUAAUACCCCGCUGUUCUGACGGUACCCAAAGAAUAAGCACCGGCUAACUUCGU